rnacentral:lncRNA from 1 species
UCAGAGAUGUUAUGUGACUUACCUAAGAUCACACAGCUAGUAAGUGGCACAGACAAGAUGUGACUCCAGUUCUGUCUGCUUCCGGGGCCCAAGUCCUUUUCACAGUGCUCAGGACAAAAGGAAACUGCGUGAGAUGGUGAUACUCUACUAAAGGCAGGCAAGACUAGAGGACAGUGGGAGUUCAAGAGACUUCAGGGGGAGGCUGGGGUAAAAGAGUCUGGGGGAUCUAGAAGAAGCUGAUGUUCCUAAUCUUGGAGGAAGUGAGAGAUAGACUCCCUUUCCCCCUGCUUCUCUUGUUGCCUGAAGGACCACUGAAACGCUGAUGAAACUGGGGGUCUUAUGAGUAUUCACCCUCCAUCACCACCAGCACUGUGGCUGUGGAGUUGAGGCCAGAGGGUGUGGUCUAGAGGCCCUUUCUGGGUGCUAAUUCCGGGAAGUUUCUUGUUCUCCCUCUUGCCUACAUCCAAUUAACCUCCAAGUGCGGUGGAUUUUACUUUUAUGAUAGCACUUCUCUUUGACCCCUGCCAGAGCCUGGUGCAGGUCCCUCUCAUGUCCCCUCACUGUCUUACCACUUCUGCUUUCACUUUCUCCAGCUUCCCUUCCGUGCUGCUGUCUGAGUGAUCUCUCUAAAGUCGAGGCAAAAACCUGAAGCUAGCUGAACAGUGACCACCCAUUGUUUUUCCUGUGCCCUCCUGGGAGGCCCCAGUUCAUCUCGACAUAUUAUGAAGCUCUU